AACAUGUCUUUUUGAUAUAUAAUAUAAAGUCUAAUCUGCUCCMWGAAAUUUUUUAAAUAGCUGCAGUAUCUUAACUGUACUAAGGUAGCAUAGUAAAUAGUUUCUUAAUUAGAAGCUUGAAUGAAUGAUUGAAUAAGGUAAAUAUUGUCUCAGAAAUAAAAGAAUUAGAAUUUUUUAUUAAGUAAAAAUGCUUAAAAGAAUUUAAAAGACGAGAAGACCCUAUAAAUUUUUAUAAUUAAAUUUUUAUUAGUAUAAAAUUAAAAAAAAUAAAUUUAAAAAUUUAAUUAUUUGGUUGGGGAAAUUAUUAAAUAAGAAUAAUUUUAAUAUAAUAGUUCCAUAAAUUAAUGAGUUAAUGAUCUUAAUAAUUUAAAUAAAAAGAAUAAAAUACUUUAGGGAUAACAGCGUAAUUUUCUUGGAGAGGCCUUAUUAAUAAGAAAGUUUACGACCUCGAUGUUGAAUUAAAAUUUAAUAUUAAUGAAGAAGUUAAUAAUAUUUGGUCUGUUCGACCAUUAAAAUUUUACGUGAUCUGA
rnacentral:rRNA from 1 species